GAGUUUGAUCAUGGCUCAGAUUGAACGCUGGCGGCAGGCCUAACACAUGCAAGUCGAACGGUAACAGGAAACAGCUUGCUGUUUCGCUGACGAGUGGCGGACGGGUGAGUAAUGUCUGGGAAACUGCCUGAUGGAGGGGGAUAACUACUGGAAACGGUAGCUAAUACCGCAUAACGUCGCAAGACCAAAGAGGGGGACCUUCGGGCCUCUUGCCAUCAGAUGUGCCCAGAUGGGAUUAGCUAGUAGGUGGGGUAACGGCUCACCUAGGCGACGAUCCCUAGCUGGUCUGAGAGGAUGACCAGCCACACUGGAACUGAGACACGGUCCAGACUCCUACGGGAGGCAGCAGUGGGGAAUAUUGCACAAUGGGCGCAAGCCUGAUGCAGCCAUGCCGCGUGUAUGAAGAAGGCCUUCGGGUUGUAAAGUACUUUCAGCGGGGAGGAAGGGAGUAAAGUUAAUACCUUUGCUCAUUGACGUUACCCGCAGAAGAAGCACCGGCUAACUCCGUGCCAGCAGCCGCGGAAAUACGGAGGGUGCAAGCGUUAAUCGGAAUUACUGGGCGUAAAGCGCACGCAGGCGGUUUGUUAAGUCAGAUGUGAAAUCCCCGGGCUCAACCUGGGAACUGCAUCUGAUACUAGCAAGCUUGAGUCUCGUAGAGGGGGGUAGAAUUCCAGGUGUAGCGGUGAAAUGCGUAGAGAUCUGGAGGAAUACCGGUGGCGAAGGCGGCCCCCUGGACGAAGACUGACGCUCAGGUGCGAAAGCGUGGGGAGCAAACAGGAUUAGAUACCCUGGUAGUCCACGCCGUAAACGAUGUCGACUUGGAGGUUGUGCCCUUGAGGCGUGGCUUCCGGAGCUAACGCGUUAAGUCGACCGCCUGGGGAGUACGGCCGCAAGGUUAAAACUCAAAUGAAUUGACGGGGGCCCGCACAAGCGGUGGAGCAUGUGGUUUAAUUCGAUGCAACGCGAAGAACCUUACCUGGUCUUGACAUCCACGGAAGUUUUCAGAGAUGAGAAUGUGCCUUCGGGAACCGUGAGACAGGUGCUGCAUGGCUGUCGUCAGCUCGUGUUGUGAAAUGUUGGGUUAAGUCCCGCAACGAGCGCAACCCUUAUCCUUUGUUGCCAGCGGUCCGGCCGGGAACUCAAAGGAGACUGCCAGUGAUAAACUGGAGGAAGGUGGGGAUGACGUCAAGUCAUCAUGGCCCUUACGACCAGGGCUACACACGUGCUACAAUGGCGCAUACAAAGAGAAGCGACCUCGCGAGAGCAAGCGGACCUCAUAAAGUGCGUCGUAGUCCGGAUUGGAGUCUGCAACUCGACUCCAUGAAGUCGGAAUCGCUAGUAAUCGUGGAUCAGAAUGCCACGGUGAAUACGUUCCCGGGCCUUGUACACACCGCCCGUCACACCAUGGGAGUGGGUUGCAAAAGAAGUAGGUAGCUUAACCUUCGGGAGGGCGCUUACCACUUUGUGAUUCAUGACUGGGGUGAAGUCGAAACAAGGUAACCGUAGGGGAACCUGCGGUUG
rnacentral:rRNA from 1 species